CGAAGGUGGCGAGCGUUGUUCGGAAUCACUGGGCAUAAAGCGCACGUAGGCGGCGACGUAAGUUGGGUGUGAAACUCCCCCGGCCCAACCGGGGAACUGCGCCCAGUACUGCGUUGCUUGAGGAUCCAAGGGGUGCAUGGAAUUCCCGGUGGAGCGGUGAAAUGCGUUGAUAUCGGGAGGAACUCCGGCGGCGAAAGCGGUGCACUGGUGGAUUACUGACGCUGAGGUGCGAAAGCCAGGGGAGCAAACGGGAUUAGAUACCCCGGUAGUCCUGGCCGUAAACGAUGGGCACUAGGUAGGGGGAAACCAAACGUCUCCCUGCUGGAGUGAAUAUAUUAAGUGCCCCGCCUGGGAAGUACGGUCGCAAGGCUG
rnacentral:rRNA from 1 species